rnacentral:rRNA from 1 species
GACGAACGCUGGCGGCGUGCUUAACACAUGCAAGUCGAACGGAAAGGCCCUGCUUUUGUGGGGUGCUCGAGUGGCGAACGGGUGAGUAACACGUGAGUAACCUGCCCUUGACUUUGGGAUAACUUCAGGAAACUGGGGCUAAUACCGGAUAGGAGCUCCUGCUGCAUGGUGGGGGUUGGAAAGUUUCGGCGGUUGGGGAUGGACUCGCGGCUUAUCAGCUUGUUGGUGGGGUAGUGGCUUACCAAGGCUUUGAGGGGUAGCCGGCCUGAGAGGGUGACCGGCCACAUUGGGCCUGAGAUACGGCCCAGACUCCUACGGGAGGCAGCAGUGGGGAAUAUUGCACAAUGGGCGGAAGCCUGAUGCAGCAACGCCGCGUGCGGGAUGACGGCCUUCGGGUUGUAAACCGCUUUCGCCUGUGACGAAGCGUGAGUGACGGUAAUGGGUAAAGAAGCACCGGCUAACUACGUG